rnacentral:lncRNA from 1 species
UAGCCAUUCUGCAUCUGUCCUCGUGGGCUGUGUCAGCCAAAGCCUCAAGUGGUCACCAAAGAUUUCUAAGAGAUCUGUCUCUGCACUGCUUCCUUCUCUCUGUUUCUCUGGCACACGCAUUCCAGCCACCCCGUCAGCUCAUGGGUCUCUGGGAUCCACUUUCCUGUGCUACAGUUUGGAAAACUCCCUAAUGCAGACAGCCGGAAAAAACCAAUAUCCCCAGAGCAAUGCAGAAUGAUGAUAACAGUUCCAGGGAAGAAAUUAAAAACACAUGAAAUUUUUUCCACUUGGCUGAUGGAGCAUUGAUGCCCUGGUGUCUGGAACAAAUGCAGAACAUCUACAAAGCAGAGGCUUUUUCUAGAGCAAGAGAUGCUGGAAGGACAGGGUGGGAAUAAGAAGUGGAAAAUAGAUCACAGUUCAACUCACAUACCCUUCUCUGGAUAGAUACACUCAACUCCGACCUGCAGACCACAGCUGUGGGUAUGCCAAAAGAAAUGUGUACGCACACCUGCAUGAUGAGCACCUCUCUCAAGCAAGAUGGAGCAUGUGCCAUUUCAUUCCCAUCAUGAACAUGCUUUAGCCAAAAGCAGGGAGAACAGAUUUCCUUGGGUACACUUGAUGUCACAGAAAAAUAUGCUUGUCUUAGGUCGGCAGCCAUGCAGCAUAGAAUAAUGACAUCCUCCAGAUAGUUUUCCCCUGGGCCUUCUAAGCAUGACCAAAUAAAGAU